rnacentral:rRNA from 1 species
CAUGCAAGUCGAGCGGAGCGAGGGUGCUUGCACCUUAGCUUAGCGGCGGACGGGUGAGUAAUGCUUAGGAAUCUGCCUAUUAGUGGGGGACAACAUUCCGAAAGGGAUGCUAAUACCGCAUACGCCCUACGGGGGAAAGCAGGGGAUCUUCGGACCUUGCGCUAAUAGAUGAGCCUAAGUCGGAUUAGCUAGUUGGUGGGGUAAAGGCCUACCAAGGCGACGAUCUGUAGCGGGUCUGAGAGGAUGAUCCGCCACACUGGGACUGAGACACGGCCCAGACUCCUACGGGAGGCAGCAGUGGGGAAUAUUGGACAAUGGGCGGAAGCCUGAUCCAGCCAUGCCGCGUGUGUGAAGAAGGCCUUUUGGUUGUAAAGCACUUUAAGCGAGGAGGAGGCUCUUAAGGUUAAUACCCUUGAUGAGUGGACGUUACUCGCAGAAUAAGCACCGGCUAA